AUCCUCCUUUUUGAAGUGUCUGUAUAGUCUGAAACCUCCAUCAUGAUCAAUCCUAGCCCAGUAGUAGAAAUCUUCUUUUGAGCCAGGAUAUUCCUUGGUAAGGUUGUGCGCUCCGUUUGGUUCGUUUGCAUUCUUGAUGUACAUGUAUCCGUCCUCAAUAAAGUUCAACUGUGAUUCCUAGUUCAGUGUGCCGGUGGCAAAAUAAGCCUUCUGAAGGGCUUCGGAUGACAGAGAUUUUGUCAGAGAAUAAAGCACCAAACUGCCACCAAAUUGCAGUAACUGUUUGGCUUUUUGGUAGUAAUUUGUCAAAUUUGUUGAAAUUUGACAAAAUUACAGUUUUAAACUCGAAAAUGAGGUUUGGCGUAUUCUAUUUUAUGUUUUUGAUAGGAAAUCUUUCUUUAAAAAAAAAUAAAUAAUAAUACUCUAAUAAUAAGAAGAAGUCUGCAUUCUUUUCUGCAAGUGUUUAUGUGUUACUGUUCAUGAGUCAUGCUUCAUAUUAUCUGGAUCCAAAGAACCAGUCACAAUAAAAUGCUAAUGCUAUAUGAUUCCAAUACGUAAGGUCCAUGAGGGAUCUUAUAAAGGAUAGUGGAAUAAAGCAUCAAUACUAAUUUGAUUGAACAUAACAUUUUAUACCUAGUUAGUUGAAUAAAAUGCUAAUUCAUUCUUGACACAAUAAUUUGAUAUGUAUGGCACCAUUUUACUUUUUCUUAUCUUGUUUGUGUCAUUGAAACUUGGAAUAAAAUGUGAAAAAAGGUGGCAAAGGAUCUGAGCGGGAAAGAGAUAAAUGCAUUAGCACAACACAUAUAGAACCUGCUGACACCAUCAACACCAUUAUUCUUCAAUCCCCUCUAUGAUCCAUAUAGGGAAGGAGCUGACUUCGUUCGUGGAUACCCCUUUAGCUUGAGAGAAGGAGUGUCUACUGCCAUCUCUCAUGGGCUGUGGCUCAACAUUCCGAAUAUGAUGCCCCUACUCAGCUUGUCAAGCCUCGUGAGCACAACACCAGGUUAAGUUUAUUAUCACUCUUAGUAAGGCUUGCUGUUGCUUCUUUUAUUGGUUUGUCAUUGCUGAACUAUGAUUUGUUUUUAUUUUUAUUUUUUUGUUUAUCAGUAUUAUCUCACAAAAUGUUCUGUUUUAAUACAUUUGGUAAUAUGCUAUUCUGUAUUUUUCUCAAUCAACUUUCAACUUGAUGUUAUUCUUUUCCUUGGCUGCCAAAUAGAGGUGAAGAUCAUUAUCUGAUUUUACAAUUUUGUAGGGAAUGAUUCCUUAGUAUUGUUGGAAUAGACAUUUUUUAAGUCUAUGACUUCUUUUUUAUUAUGGUUUGGACUUUGGACUAUUGCUGCAUUUUUUUUUUCCUAAUGUUUUUAAAUUCUCUAAUAAUUUCCUGGAUUCUCACUCAUUGAAUUUUGGGGUGUGUGUGUUUGUAAAAGCUGCUUAUGAAAAUUCAGGUAUUAGCAAGUUGAUCAAGAUGCUGGUUUCAUGUAAUGGUGUCUGCUGAGGACUUGGUAUAAGUUUUUUUAAGGUCUAUUGGACAAUUUAAUUGACUUGAUCCAUUCAAAGAAGAUAAAAAAAGAAAAUAGAAAGAACAUUUUUGCAGUUGAUUUGGUUUGUCAAAAUGGACAUUCUCAGAUCUUUGUUUUUGUUUUAGCUGGUAUCUCCACUAUGACAUUCUCAGAUCUGGUAAACAUAUUUUCAACUGGCCUUUUCAGCAUUAUAGAUGGUUAAGUAAGGGGGAUCCUAUAGCCCUUCUCUUAUGUUUCUUUUUUGUUAUGAAGAUGCUGAAAAGGAUGAUUGCAAGAGCAGCAAGUGGCAUUCUUAUUGUGUUUCAGGUGGGAAAGGAAAUUGAGAUUUCAAACUUCGUUAUAGAUGAUCCCUGCAUCAUCUUCGAUUGGAAAUUUAACUGAGCUUGGUUAUCUUAGUUAUCUGCUUCUUUGCAUUGAGACUUCUGCAGUAAAAAAGAAUAUGGGUUCAAGUGAAUUGGUUUGAGCGGAAGAUGAAUUGGCAGCUUUGUAGGCUGUAAGGUGAAGAGAAUGAUCAAUCCUUUGCUAAUAAUGAGCUUGAUGAAAGAGUAUACAGGCAUUAUGGGUCUCCUCAAUUAGAAUGGCUUUUCUUGGGAUGAAAUUUGCAAAACAGUGGCACUGUGGCAGCUGAUGUUUAGCUUUGGGAAGCUUAUGGCAGCUGAUGUUUAACUUUGGGAAGCUUAUAUCAAGGUUCCAUUCUAUCCCGUUGGUAAUUUUGCUAGGAUAAAGGGUUUUCCUCUAGUUAUCAUUAAAGAGCACCCCAAAGCAUCGCAUACAAACUUGUAUUUUUUUUUCUCCUUUGAUGAAAUGAUAUUACUUCUGUAUUCAUUUAGUAAACUGAGUGUUUUUGGGUAACAAGGGAUGUAGUAUAUAUGAUCAUAUCAAUUCUAUAAUAAUCAAUGAAUUGGAUAAUUUUGAGUAGCUUUUGUUUAGAAAUGACAUGUUGCAGGAACAUUUGGAUGCAACUGCAUACAAAUAUAGGGGAUCCCAUAUUUCUGAUUUGUGCUUGAUUUAUGGUAAUUAAAGUCAGAAUGGAAGAUCAAAUUGUUUGGACAUGAAAAUGGAGGUCAACAAUAAUGCCCUUUGGAUGGGAUUGACGAUAACUUGGGAUAUGCAAUAUCCAGCAAGGGAGUUUGAAAUCUCUUAUCAGGGGAAAAAUAAAAUGUUUGCAACUUCUUUAGCCUCUGCACGUUCUUCAAAAUUUCAGAGAUCAAGGGAGAGUUACAAGAAGCACUUGGGGAAAGGCCAUGAGUAGUCAAAACAAAUGUGGGUAACGAGAAGGACAAAGACUGCAAUUGAAUAGAAUGUAUUGAUACAACACUUCAAAUUGUUCCUGAAAUAGACGAGAGAAUGGCCAUGAAAUUUGCAGCGAGGAAAUGGUUAUUGAGAAAGGUUUGACAGGAUAUCUAUUUUGCUUGUCAAAUUUAGAGUAAAUAUUUUUUUGGAAUAGAAUUUCUUGCUUGAUUUCAUUGUUUACUUAUACCCAAAUCAUUUUCAAGUGUUCAAGGUUUU